GACAGAGGAUGCAAGCGUUAUCCGGAAUGAUUGGGCGUAAAGCGUCUGUAGGUGGCUUUUUAAGUCCGCCGUCAAAUCCCAGGGCUCAACCUCGAGACGCCGGUGGAAACCAUCAGGCUAGAGUCCGGAAGAGGAGAGUGGAAUUCCUGGUGUAGCGGUGAAAUGCGCAGAUAUCAGGAAGAACACCCGUGGCUAAGGCGGCUCUCUAGUACGGUACUGACGCUGAGACGCGAAAGCGUGGGGAGCGAACAGG
rnacentral:rRNA from 1 species